UACGUAGGGUGCGAGCGUUGUCCGGAAUUAUUGGGCGUAAAGAGCUCGUAGGCGGUCUGUCGCGUCGGAUGUGAAAACUCGGGGCUCAACCCCGAGCCUGCAUUCGAUACGGGCAGACUAGAGUUCGGUAGGGGAGACUGGAAUUCCUGGUGUAGCGGUGAAAUGCGCAGAUAUCAGGAGGAACACCGGUGGCGAAGGCGGGUCUCUGGGCCGAUACUGACGCUGAGGAGCGAAAGCCAGGGGAGCAAACGGG
rnacentral:rRNA from 1 species